ACAGAGAACACCACUGUGCGUGGCAUUUCCGUAUCCAAUGCGGAAUUGCGAAUGCAACAGACAAGACCCGGAUGGCGGAGGAGUGGGCCGUGGGAGGACUCACACGACUUUGUCAUUAUAAAUUGAAAGACAUUUCUAGUCGCGUUCUCCCCGCGCCAAAGGACCUUCCUCGGGAAAAUUAUUUUCGUUUUGUGCCCCAGCUGAUUGAAAUUUCAACUUCCGCCUGGGACGAGGGACGUCAAUUGAAUUACGAAACUUUUGACAUUUGCUGCAAAAGUAAUACUAAGUAGCAACAACAAAGGGCUGCUCUGAACGGCGACAUGCCCACAACGCCCCUAACACCUACACACCUCUGAAUAUCCUGGCGUAUCCUGGCGAGUCCUGGGCACAUCGCACACAGCCCUGCACUCCACACACGAUUCUACAAUGCGUUUUUCCUGCUGGAGAUCAACAAAAAGCGUCGCAUUGAAUUUCAAAAGAAGGAAAGCGGAAACAAACUUGAGCACACAACGUCCAUUUCCUGUUUCUGUUUGUCCUUGCUGCCGUGUCCUUGUUGUUGUCCUUGCCCAUUCGCACAUCGAUUCGGCUUGAUUCAGCUCGAUUUGCACCGGCUUUUGGCACAGAUUGUGUUGAGUUUUGUUUGGCAUCGUUGGACUCCGGUUACCACAGGCCCCUGCAACCGAAAUGCAACUUUUUUUGGCCACCUUUCACCGUCGAGGGCGAUGAGAACCCGUAACGGAAAACCCCGGAACCCCCUUGGUUCUUCGGAAGCGUAGCUCGCAUUUUCUUUGCAAUUUUUUGCAAUCAACUCGAACAGGUAAUGAAAUGCAAAUCGAUCCAUACACGCAUUAAGUCGGAUGCAUUGGCAGUUUCCCGAGAAAUGAAAGAA